UUUAAGUGGGUAAAUAUUAAAACUAGUUAGCAGAGUUUAACACCAGAAUUUCCAGAAGUUACUUUUGUGCAGAUUUUGUGCAUAUAAUUCUUUUGGGUCUUGUUUCAUGCUUGAGUACCUCUCCUUCCAGAAGCUAACUGGAUUAUGUGUGGGGGUGGUAUCCGACAGGAGCAGGGGUGGAGCGGAGGCUUCCUCUCGGGAGUCGGCAGGAGGGCAAUAGCUCGUGUUCCCUCUCUGGGGGUCUCGCGUAGCCAUCAGUGAUAUGAGUUCCUCAGGCUGUUUAAGCCUUGUUUGUAGGUGGGGUGGGGUGCGGUGCGGUGCGUCAGCAGGCUCCGAGAGCACGCUGCUGGCACUUCCGGGUUCAGGAGCCGCUCAACGUCCGGCUUCUGGCAUUAUUCCGGGUUACUGCCGGCGCGACGGAGGGGGUCCCGGGCGCCACGGCGGGGCCGAUCCCGGCUGCCGUGCAGGCGCCUUUGAUGCCGGUGGCUCAGCAGUCGCCGCGUGGGCUGCACAGAUGCAUCCGGCGCCGACGGGGGCCACGGUUCUGGGGCUGCCGGCUUCUCUUCCAGCUUCCGGCGCUGCGAUGCUUCCGGUUUCUCUGGGGGACCCGGUGCCGCUGCGAAUGGGUGUGUCAAGCGAAGGCCAAGUUCCAGGACUGAACCAAUCAGCGGGAGGCGGAGGUGGGCCGAGCGCUUCCAUAGCAACACGGGGCAUGGAAGAAAUGCCGAAGGGCUCGUGCAGGCACGGCGGGGAUGGUCCCGGACGCCGCUGUGUGGGCGCUGCAGGGGCUUCUGGCGCUAGCGGGGGGGCGGCCACCGAACGGGCUGUGCAGACGCCUCCGUCGCCUGCGGUGGGGGGGGUGGGGCUCCGGCCCCGAUAUCAUGGCGCGCCGGCACUGCGGGGUUGGGGGGAGUCUGAACAAUGGCCGCUCCCCCCCCUGCAGCCAGUCUUCUGAUGAUGGUGAAUACAUGGGUAGAGAAAUUAGUUCAGCCCCCUCUAUAUCCCCACAUUGUAUUGCUUUUUGUUUGUCUUAGGUUGGAAAUAGAGGUAUUCUAUUCCUAUCUGUUAGAGGUGGGGCAGUUAUCUUCUGUUAAUUGGGCCGCCUGUUAAAACCAGCUCUACCCAGAGGGAGGAGCCAAGCAUUCCUACCUGGAUAUAAUCAGAGAUCUGGAAGACCACAGCAAGGCUUUUCCACUGGAAUCCCAAAGGAGCAGAUCUUUCUCACUAGAUUCCCAGAGGAAGACCAGGUCCAUCUACACCACCACUGGAUCUUCAGAGGAAGACUACACCCUUCUAGAGGAUCACUGCUUCAACAGAACCACAUCUGUCACUCCAGGACUGCAGCAUCCAUUCCACUGGACUGCUACCAACACCCUGACCCACAGGGUGUCAGGUCAUAUUCUGACUCUGUCAUUGGCUUUUUUUGUUGGUACUAUAAAUUUUUUUUUUUUUUAGUUUUCCUAGUAAAGAACUGUUUUUCCUAUUCCC